UGGUGAAGUGAUUUGUCUGGUUGAUUUCGAUAACGAACGAGACUGCCCUUUCUAAAUAGGCCAUGGUAUCGAACUUCGGUUCAAUGGUACUUUGUGCCUUCUUACAAAGACAAUUGGGAUAAAAUAAAUCAAAGGAAGUUGGCAGCUAUAACA
rnacentral:rRNA from 1 species